rnacentral:rRNA from 1 species
ACGAAAAAUGAAUACCAAGUCUCAAGAGUGAACACGUAAUUCAUUACGAAGUUUAAUUCAUUGAGCAUCAAACUUUUAAAUUGAAGAGUUUGAUCAUGGCUCAGAUUGAACGCUGGCGGCAGGCCUAACACAUGCAAGUCGAACGGUAACAGGAAGCAGCUUGCUGCUUUGCUGACGAGUGGCGGACGGGUGAGUAAUGUCUGGGAAACUGCCUGAUGGAGGGGGAUAACUACUGGAAACGGUGGCUAAUACCGCAUAACGUCGCAAGACCAAAGAGGGGGACCUUCGGGCCUCUUGCCAUCAGAUGUGCCCAGAUGGGAUUAGCUUGUUGGUGAGGUAACGGCUCACCAAGGCGACGAUCCCUAGCUGGUCUGAGAGGAUGACCAGCCACACUGGAACUGAGACACGGUCCAGACUCCUACGGGAGGCAGCAGUGGGGAAUAUUGCACAAUGGGCGCAAGCCUGAUGCAGCCAUGCCGCGUGUAUGAAGAAGGCCUUCGGGUUGUAAAGUACUUUCAGCGGGGAGGAAGGUGUUGUGGUUAAUAACCGCAGCAAUUGACGUUACCCGCAGAAGAAGCACCGGCUAACUCCGUGCCAGCAGCCGCGGUAAUACGGAGGGUGCAAGCGUUAAUCGGAAUUACUGGGCGUAAAGCGCACGCAGGCGGUCUGUCAAGUCGGAUGUGAAAUCCCCGGGCUCAACCUGGGAACUGCAUUCGAAACUGGCAGGCUUGAGUCUUGUAGAGGGGGGUAGAAUUCCAGGUGUAGCGGUGAAAUGCGUAGAGAUCUGGAGGAAUACCGGUGGCGAAGGCGGCCCCCUGGACAAAGACUGACGCUCAGGUGCGAAAGCGUGGGGAGCAAACAGGAUUAGAUACCCUGGUAGUCCACGCCGUAAACGAUGUCUACUUGGAGGUUGUGCCCUUGAGGCGUGGCUUCCGGAGCUAACGCGUUAAGUAGACCGCCUGGGGAGUACGGCCGCAAGGUUAAAACUCAAAUGAAUUGACGGGGGCCCGCACAAGCGGUGGAGCAUGUGGUUUAAUUCGAUGCAACGCGAAGAACCUUACCUGGUCUUGACAUCCACGGAAGUUUUCAGAGAUGAGAAUGUGCCUUCGGGAACCGUGAGACAGGUGCUGCAUGGCUGUCGUCAGCUCGUGUUGUGAAAUGUUGGGUUAAGUCCCGCAACGAGCGCAACCCUUAUCCUUUGUUGCCAGCGGUCCGGCCGGGAACUCAAAGGAGACUGCCAGUGAUAAACUGGAGGAAGGUGGGGAUGACGUCAAGUCAUCAUGGCCCUUACGACCAGGGCUACACACGUGCUACAAUGGCGCAUACAAAGAGAAGCGACCUCGCGAGAGCAAGCGGACCUCAUAAAGUGCGUCGUAGUCCGGAUUGGAGUCUGCAACUCGACUCCAUGAAGUCGGAAUCGCUAGUAAUCGUGGAUCAGAAUGCCACGGUGAAUACGUUCCCGGGCCUUGUACACACCGCCCGUCACACCAUGGGAGUGGGUUGCAAAAGAAGUAGGUAGCUUAACCUUCGGGAGGGCGCUUACCACUUUGUGAUUCAUGACUGGGGUGAAGUCGUAACAAGGUAACCGUAGGGGAACCUGCGGUUGGAUCACCUCCUUACCUUAAAGAANNNNNNNNNNNNNNNNNNNNUGAAGUGCUCACACAGAUUGUCUGAUGAAAA